GCUCCAGACUCCUACGGGAGGCAGCAGUGGGGAAUAUUGCACAAUGGGGGAAACCCUGAUGCAGCGACGCCGCGUGAGCGAUGAAGUAUUUCGGUAUGUAAAGCUCUAUCAGCAGGGAAAAAAAUGACGGUACCUGACUAAGAAGCCCCGGCUAACUACGUGCCAGCAGCCGCGGUAAUACGUAGGGGGCAAGCGUUAUCCGGAUUUACUGGGUGUAAAGGGAGCGUAGACGGUCCUGCAAGCCAGAUGCGAAAGCCCGGGGCUCAACCCCGGGACUGCAUUUGGAACUGUAAGGCUAGAGUGUCGGAGAGGCGGGCGGAAUUCCUAGUGUAGCGGUGAAAUGCGUAGAUAUUAGGAGGAACACCAGUGGCGAAGGCGGCCUGCUGGACGAUGACUGACGUUGAGGCUCGAAGGCGUGGGGAGCAAACAGGAUUAGAUACCCCGGUACGC
rnacentral:rRNA from 1 species